rnacentral:rRNA from 1 species
GUGCCAGCCGCCGCGGUAAUACCGGCAGCCCGAGUGAUGGCCGAUCUUAUUGGGCCUAAAGCGUCGUAGCUGGCCGCGCAAGUCCAUCGGGAAAUCCACCCGCCCAACGGGUGGCCGUCCGGUGGAAACUGCACGGCUUGGGACCGGAAGGCGCGACGGGUACGUCCAGGGUAGGAGUGAAAUCCCGUAAUCCUGGACGGACCACCGAUGGCGAAAGCACCUCGAGAAGACGGCUCCGACGGUGAGGGACGAAAGCCAGGGUCUCCAACCGGAUUAGAAACCCGGGUAGUCC